UGUGGAGGCGACGUUGGAGGAGCCCCAUCCUCGCCCACCCUUGCUUCUCCCCUCCCGGACUGUGAGUUCACGCUGGUGUAAGACGCAAACGCUAACUACUCCCUCUAGCCUCCCGACUUCCUUCUGGGCGCCUAAUAAAAACCAGGGAAGUUUAAUCAUUCCGCAGCGAGCCUCGUCGGUGUCACUGGGCAUGCUCAGUCGCUGGCUGCCUCAGCUGGGCUUCCCGGAGCGCGGGCUGGGCAGAGCGGACCCAGAGCCUGAGUGACACGCGCGCGCCCUGCAGUCCCCACCCGGGCGCCCGGCCCGCGGAGAACCGAGUCCUUCCGGAACCCCCCAACUUUGCGACAAGUUCGGAGCCGCCUUUUGGGGGAGACAUGCAAAUGAUGACCAGGAACGUUUUACUAGAUAUGGAACUGGAGGAGGACGACGACGAGGAUGGAGAUAUCGGUGAUGAUCCUGCCUCCAAGAGGCCCUUUCUGACUCCUCAUAAGCUCCUCCCAUCCAGCCAGGGUAAGAAUCACUUGUUUUGUGUUUGAACAGCACCUUUACUUACC
rnacentral:lncRNA from 1 species